UUCUACAGCCAUACCACCCUGAAUGUGCCCGAUCUUGUCUGACCUUGGAAGCUAAGCAGGGUCGGGCCUGGUUAGUACUUGGAUGGGAGACCACCUAGGAAUACCAGGUGCUAUAGGUG
rnacentral:rRNA from 1 species